rnacentral:rRNA from 1 species
UACGUAGGUGGCAAGCGUUGUCCGGAUUUACUGGGCGUAAAGAGCGCGCAGGCGGUCGUUCAAGUCGCGUGUGAAAGCCCCCGGCUCAACUGGGGAGGGUCACGCGAUACUGAUCGACUCGAAGGCAGGAGAGGGAAGUGGAAUUCCCGGUGUAGUGGUGAAAUGCGUAGAUAUCGGGAGGAACACCAGUGGCGAAGGCAGAUCUCUGGGCCGUAACUGACGCUGAGGAGCGAAAGCGUGGGGAGCGAACAGG